rnacentral:rRNA from 1 species
UGUACACGCUGUGACUAGCAUAUCAAUAAGCGGAGGAAAAGAAACUAACAAGGAUUCCCUUAGUAACGGCGAGUGAAGCGGGAAGAGCUCAAAUUUGAAAUCUUCAAGGUUCUACCUUUACGAAUUGUAGUUUAAAGAAGUGUUUUCUGUUAGUGAGGUUGGCUAAAAGUUCUUUGGAAUAGGACAUCAUAGAGGGUGAGAAUCCCGUAUUUGAUCAUUCCUUCUAACUUUGUGAUACACUUUCAAAGAGUCGGAUUGUUUGGGAAUGCAGUCCAAAAUGGGUGGUAAAUUUCAUCUAAAGCUAAAUAUUGGCGAGAGACCGAUAGCGAACAAGUACCGUGAGGGAAAGAUGAAAAGAACUUUGAAAAGAGAGUUAAACAGUACGUGAAAUUGUCAAAAGGGAUGCGUUUGACACCAGUGUUGUUUUUCUGAAAAUCAAUUAAAGAACUGUUUAUGCUAAGCUGUUUAGACUUUAUCAGCUAAUCUGUUUAGUUUUGAGCUUUUCUUUAAUGCACUUUUCAGUUAACAAGUCAACAUCAAUUUCUUUUGCUGUAAAAAAGCUUGAGGAAGGUGGCUUGAGAUUCGUCUUAAGUGUUUAUAGCCUCUUGCCUAUGCAGUCGGAGAGAUUGAGGUCUGCAGCGUAGAUCCUUCGGGGCUAAAUGCAUUUGUGCUAAGUUAUAGCAUUUUAUAGACAACUUGUUGACUAUGAUUUGUCUUGUAGCUUACUCGCUUAUGUUAUUUUACCUACGCUUAGGAUGUUGACGAGACUGUCGAUCUC